AACGAAAGAAAUAAUAUAAUUUUCAAGAACAGUGAAAGUGUCAUUCACUAACCGUUAGAUAAUGUCAAGUUACAUUUUUUUGGUGGAUGAAGACAACUAAUAUUAAUGUUCGGUUAAAUUCUUAUAUAUGGUGGUCGAACCCGUUUGUUUGUAUCGGCAUCGGCUAAUUUGUUUUAGUUUUGCUUUCUUUAUUGCUUGUUCGGUU
rnacentral:lncRNA from 1 species